rnacentral:SRP_RNA from 1 species
GCUGGGCAUGGUGGUGGGUGCCUGUAAUCCCAGCUACUUAGGAGGCUGAGGCAGGAGAAUCACUUGAACCCAGGAGGUAGAGGUUGCAGUGAGCCAAGAUCACGCCACUGCACUCCAUCCUGGGCAGCAGAGUGAGACUCUGCCUCAA